rnacentral:rRNA from 1 species
GUGGGGAAUCUUCCGCAAUGGGCGAAAGCCUGACGGAGCAACGCCGCGUGAGUGAUGACGGCCUUCGGGUUGUAAAGCUCUGUUAUAUGGGACGAACGGGCAUGGGGCGAAUACCCCCAUGCAGUGACGGUACCGUAAGAGAAAGCCACGGCUAACUACGUGCCAGCAGCCGCGGUAAUACGUAGGUGGCAAGCGUUGUCCGGAAUUAUUGGGCGUAAAGGGCGCAUGGGCGGCCAGACAAGUCUGUGUUAAAAGUGCGGGGCUCAACCCCGUGAUGGGAUGGAACCUGUCUGGCUAGAGUGUCGGAGAGGAAAGCGGAAUUCCGUGUGUAGCGGUGAAAUGCGUAGAUAUUAGGAGGAACACCAGUGGCGAAAGCGGCUUUCUGGACGACAACUGACGCUGAGGCGCGAAAGCCAGGGGAGCAAACGGGAUUAGAAACCCGUGUAGUCC